rnacentral:rRNA from 1 species
UACGGGAGGCAGCAGUGGGGAAUAUUGCACAAUGGGCGCAAGCCUGAUGCAGCCAUGCCGCGUGUAUGAAGAAGGCCUUCGGGUUGUAAAGUACUUUCAGUCGUGAGGAAGGUGUUAAGGUUAAUAACCUUAGCAAUUGACGUUAGCGACAGAAGAAGCACCGGCUAACUCCGUGCCAGCAGCCGCGGUAAUACGGAGGGUGCGAGCGUUAAUCGGAAUUACUGGGCGUAAAGGGCACGCAGGCGGUUAAUUAAGUUGGAUGUGAAAUCCCCGGGCUUAACCUGGGAAUGGCAUUCAAGACUGGUUAGCUAGAGUCUUGUAGAGGGGGUAGAAUUCCAUGUGUAGCGGUGAAAUGCGUAGAGAUGUGGAGGAAUACCGGUGGCGAAGGCGGCCCCUGGACAAAGGCUGACGCUCAUGUGCGAAAGCGUGGGGAGCAAACGAGGGAUUAGAU